AUGCACGCUGGCGGCAUGCCUAACCCAUGCAAGUCGCUCGGUAAGGCUCUUCGGAGUACACGAGAGGCGGACGGCUGAGUAACGCGUAGGAACACACCCUGCAGUGAGGGAUAAGACACCGAAAGGUGUUCUAAUACCGCAUACGGUCUUCGGAUUAAAGCAUUUAUGCGCUGAAGGAGUGGCCUGCGUCAUAUUAGAUAGUUGGUGAGGUAAUGGCUCACCAAGUCGAUGAUGUGUAGCUGGUCUGAGAGGAUGAUCAGCCAGACUGGAACUGAGACACGGUCCAGACUCCUACGGGAGGCAGCAGUGAGGAAUAUUUCACAAUGAGCGAAAGCUUGAUGGAGCAAUGCCGCGUGCAGGAUGAAGGCCCUCGGGUUGUAAACUGCUUUUAUAAGAGAAGAUUAUGACGGUAACUUAUGAAUAAGGGACGGCUAACUACGUG
rnacentral:rRNA from 1 species